rnacentral:rRNA from 1 species
GGACCAUCAUGUUGGUCGUGCCACUGGUAUGUACUGGUCUCACUGAUUCCCCCUUCCUGAUGAGCCGUAAUGCCAUUAAUUUGGUGUUGCGGGGAAUUUGGACUGUUACUUUGAAAAAAUUAGAGUGUUUAAAGCAAGCUAACGCUUGAAUACAUUAGCAUGGAAUAAUGAAAUAGGACGUUUGAUUCUAUUUUGUUGGUUUCUAGGAUCGACGUA